CCUACGGGUGGCAGCAGUGGGGAAUAUUGGACAAUGGGGGGAACCCUGAUCCAGCGAUGCCGCGUGAGUGAAGAAGUACUUCGGUAUGUAAAGUUCUAUCAGUAGGGAAGAAAGAAAUGACGGUACCUGACGAAGAAGCCCCGGCUAACUACGUGCCAGCAGCCGCGGUAAUACGUAGGGGGCAAGCGUUAUUCGGAUUUACUGGGUGUAAAGGGAGGGUAGACGGGGAGGCAAGUAGGAAGUGAAAUGCCAGGGCCUAACCCCGGGUCUGCGUUGAAAACUGUCUGACUGGAGUGCAGGAGAGGAAAGUGGAAUUCCUAGUGUAGCGGUGGAAUGCGUAGAUAUUAGGAGGAACAGCAGUGGCGAAGGCGACUUGCUGGACUGUAACUGACGUUGAGGCACGAAAGUGUGGGGAGCAAACAGGAUUAGAUACCCGGGUAGUC
rnacentral:rRNA from 1 species